rnacentral:rRNA from 1 species
CCUACGGGUGGCAGCAGUGAGGAAUAUUGGUCAAUGGACGCAAGUCUGAACCAGCCAUGCCGCGUGCAGGAAGACGGCUCUAUGAGUUGUAAACUGCUUUUGUACGAGGGUAAACGCAGAUACGCGUAUCUGUCUGAAAGUAUCGUACGAAUAAGGAUCGGCUAACUCCGUGCCAGCAGCCGCGGUAAUACGGAGGAUUCAAGCGUUAUCCGGAUUUAUUGGGUUUAAAGGGUGCGUAGGCUGUCGGAUAAGUUAGAGGUGAAAUCCCGAGGCUCAACUUCGGAAUUGCCUCUGAUACUGUUCGGCGAGAGAGUAGUUGCGGUAGGCGGAAUGUAUGGUGUAGCGGUGAAAUGCUUAGAGAUCAUACAGAACACCGAUUGCCAAGGCAGCUUACCAAGCUACUUCUGACGUUGAGGCACGAAAGCGUGGGGAGCAAACAGGAUUAGAUACCCGAGUAGUC